GGGCGAUGACGAUGAUUAUACCAUCAAACUUUGAAAGCUUUAUAUUGUAAGCUUGUUGAUGCUACCAAAAUCAUUACUCUCUGAGCCU